GGGUUGACAGAAUGAGAUACUGUCUCAAAAAAAAAAAAAAGAUGUAUGUGUGUAUGUAUGGGGAUUUGGAGAAAUUAGAACCUUUAUACACUGCUGAUGGGAAUGUAAAAUGGUACAGCUAGGCCGUGCACGGUGGCUCACGCCUGUAAUCCCAGCACUUUGGAAGGCCGGGGUGGGUGGAUCACCUGAUGUCGGGAGUUCUAGACCAACCUGACCAACAUGGAGAAACCCCAUCUCUACUAAAAAUACAAAAUUAGCUGGGCGUGGUGGUGCAUGCCUGUAAUCCCAGCUACCCAGGAGGCUGAGGCAGGAUAAUCACUUGAACCCGGGAGGUGGAGGUUGCAGUGAGCCAAGAUUGCGCCACUGCAUUACAGCCUGGUCGACGGAGUGAGACUCCGUCUCAAAACAAACAAACAAACAAACAAACAAACAAAAAAGUCCUCCUUCUUGGGCUGAAGGAAAUUGGGAUAGGGUUCCGGGGUCCUCCAGGCCCAGGCUUACUUUGCUGCUAGAAAACUUUCUAAUGUCCAAGUCACCGCGGCAGGGAGACGCAAGCCCCAGAAUGUGCCUCCCUGCCCUGCCUCCAACCUGGCAAAGCCCAGAACAGGGACAGAGUGGGCACUCCAUCAGAGAUAAGGGAGACAAAGGGUGAGCAAAGGAAUGCAUGGCAGGCCUCUGUCUGGAAUCGUAAGCUCUUGGGCAGUGGAACACCACGGCGGAUCAAUCCAUGGUGCGCGUGAUUUCAGUCUCCCCACCAGCCUUAACCACAGGGUCUCCAGCAGCCCUGGGUCAAAGGGUCCCAGAGAGACAGAAGCCUUCCUUCAGGGAGCUGAUUUCAGCUGAUCUGGGUUCACUUCUGACUCUGCCACUAACUUGCUGUGUGACCUUGAACAAAUCACUCUCCCUCUCUCAGUCUAAACUUUUCUCAUCUGUUCAAUCAGUAGGUUGGACUGGAUAAUGAUAACCCGUAGUAAUAAGAGCUAAUACUUGCUGAGUGUUUUCUACGAACCAGGUAAGAUUCUAAGCGGUCUGUACAGAUUCAUUGAUUUUACCCUCAUGACAAGCUUAUGAGGGAGGUAUGGUCAUUUCUUCCAUUUUUACAUGGGGGUGCAACUUAGGCACAUGAAGGUCACGUGACUUGAUCAAAGUCACAUAGCAGGGAGGUUUCAGGGUCAGGACUCAAACCUGGGCCGCCUGGCUCCAGAAACUGCUUAGAAUCAUGAGAACUUUUGUUUUCAUUGUUACUAAUCAAAUCUCAACAAAGGAAAUCCAAGGAAAAGAGAAUCCAGACCUGGAUCAAACUUUUCCUUUUUCCUUGGUUCCCACAGUCCUUUUCAGUGCCAUAUAUGUUUUUAUAAAUUUAUAUAUAUAUAUAAAUAUAUGUAUAUAUAUGUGUAUAUAUACUUUUUUUUUUGAGACAUAGUCUUGCUCUGUC
rnacentral:lncRNA from 1 species